GGAGGAAAAGAAACUAACAAGGAUUCCCCUAGUAACGGCGAGUGAAGCGGGAAGAGCUCAAAUUUGAAAUCUGGUGGCCUCAGGCUAUCCGAGUUGUAAUCUAUAGAAACAUUUUCCGCGUUGGCCCAUGUACAAGUCUCUUGGAAUAGAGCGUCAUAGAGGGUGAGAAUCCCGUCCUUGACAUGGACUACCAGUGCUUUGUGAUAUGUUUUCAACGAGUCGAGUUGUUUGGGAAUGCAGCUCAAAAUGGGUGGUAAAUUCCAUCUAAAGCUAAAUAUUGGCGAGAGACCGAUAGCGAACAAGUACCGUGAGGGAAAGAUGAAAAGCACUUUGGAAAGAGAGUUAAACAGUAUGUGAAAUUGUUGAAAGGGAAACGAUUGAAGUCAGUCGUGUCUAUCGGACUCAGCCGGUUCUGCCGGUGUACUUCCUUUAGAUGGGGUCAACAUCAGUUUUGAUCGCUGGAAAAAGGCAGGAGGAAUGUAGCACUCUCGGGUGAACUUAUAGCCUUCUGUCGCAUACAGUGGUUGGGACUGAGGAACGCAGCUUGCCUUUAUGGCCGGGAUUUAUCCACGUACAAGCUUAGGAUGUUGACAUAAUGGCUUUAAACGACCCGUCUUGAAACACG
rnacentral:rRNA from 1 species